rnacentral:rRNA from 1 species
GCUUGAAUUACUGGGCGUAAAGCGUGCGUAGGUGGUUUGUUAAGUCUGAUGUGAAAGCCCUGGGCUCAACCUGGGAACUGCAUUGGAAACUGGCUGACUAGAGUGCGGUAGAGGGGUGUGGAAUUCCCGGUGUAGCAGUGAAAUGCGUAGAUAUCGGGAGGAACAUCUGUGGCGAAGGCGACACCCUGGACCAGCACUGACACUGAGGCACGAAAGCGUGGGGAGCAAACAGGAUUAGAUACCCUGGUAGUCCACGCCCUAAACGAUGCGAAUUGGAUGUUGGGGGCAACUUGGCCCUCAGUAUCGAAGCUAACGCGUUAAGUUCGCCGCCUGG